rnacentral:lncRNA from 1 species
AUUAAAGCCUACUCUCAUUAAUUGUUUUUAAGCUUUUUGCCUAUGUUUUAGACUAACCUUGCUUAUUCCUGUGAAUCACGUGGUGAUCUUCUGCAGCUUGGAAUAAAAGAAUAGGGAUGGGUAAGGUAAAAAUGUGAAUCAAUAUGCUAGUUCUGGGCAAUUAUCUUGCAAAUUCUGCCAGAUAAUUAAAGUAAGUGCCCAUAACCUGGAGGUUUCUGUUUGGGAAAAUAAAACCAGGGAACUUCAUAGACCCCCAAAGGGGAAUUCUAAUAUCUUGGCAAGUAAAAUUUUAGAUGGAAAUUACCUGCCACACCACAUUUGUGGGAACUGCUGUCCUCACCCUACUAUUUGCAAUAGCGUUACACAUGGUACCACCUUCUAACUGAAAUAUUGGACAGAGAGUUUCCAUUGCUGUAGUAUUUUGCUUAAUUAUUAUCCUUAUAGCAAGGAUAAUAGUUGACAAAAAGGAAGCAUGAAAGUUUUACUAUCACUGAGUCUGCUAGGACUUUUUAUUAGGUUUAGUAAUGUAGUUUUAAAUGAAACAUGCUGCUUUUGGAUUAACAACUCUAGUAAAGUAGAGGAAAAUCUACGCGUACUUAGAAAUCAAAUCAAAAUUAUUGACAGGCUCAGGGAAAAUGCCAGCUUCAGCCCGAGUGGCUACAAUCCCUCUUUAAUAAAUUCCAGUCUUCUUUAUGGAAUUGGUUAACCCCUUUAUUAAGCACUCUCUUGCUUAUCUGUCUUGUAUUGAUAUUUGGACCCUGUAUACUCAAUAUUAUAACUCAAAUUGUUUCUUCUCGCCUAGAAGCAAUCAAACUUCAAAUGGUGCUGUAAACUGAACCACACGCCAUUCUUCCGAGGAUCCUUAGAUCGACCCCAGAAGGAGCCUUAGCUGCUGUUCCCCAUUCGAUGCCCCUUUUCAGCAGGAAGUAGCCAGAAAGAGUCAUCGCCCCAAACCCCCUAACAGCAGUUAGUGUGGCAUCUCCACAGGGGGGAAUGUUGUAGGAAAAGGGGUCCUUGGGAAGUUUUUGUUUGUUAAAGCACCUCUGGAAAAGUUUCUUGCAAAGCCCUGGCUCUCAGAGCCAGGCCAGCAACCAUUGAUAUGCAAAUGCAGAGUGGGAGGGCCAGCUUUUUCCAUGGGCCAUGUGAAUGAAAUGCCUAAUCAAACCAAUCCCCUGAGCCCUAUGCAAAUCAAACACCGCCUCCUCCAGCCUCUGCAUAUAUACCUGGCUGGUAUGGUUAGCAGGUAGGGACCUCCUCUUUCGGCUUUGUAUCCCCCCUCCCUCUGCCUCUGUAUAGGGGGAGCUUCUUCCUUCUGUCUUCUCCCUUCCUUCUUGCCUAUUAAACUCUCAGCUCCUUAAAACCAAAAACAACAACAACAAAAAAACAGGAACUCAUACUUUUCAAUUACAAAUAGUGCAUGCAAUCCACCUACUUGGAUGACUACAAGAAGUUUAGAAUCUUUCCGUGGCCCAUCGUAGCUAACUGCAUAGACUUGACCUCCAGCAACCAUGCCUCAGGACCAAGAUAAAGCAUAUGCUGCUAUCUCUAAAAUGACAAAGUUGGCUGGGUGCGGUGGCUCAGACCUCUAACCCCAGCACUUUGGGAGGCUCAGGCGGGUGAUCUGUUUUAGCCCAGGAGUUUGAGACCAGCCUAGUUUGAGAUCGGCCUGUGAUACAUGGCAGAAACCCCGUCUCUACAAAAAAAAAUCCAAAAAAUUAGCCAGGCAUGGUGGUACAUGUCUGUAGUCCUGGCUACUCAGAAGACUGAGGUGGGAGAAUUACUUGAGACUGAAAAGUUGAGGAUAGUGAGCCAUGAUCAUGCCACUGCACUCCAGCCUGAGUGAUAGAGAGAGACCCUAUCUCAAAAAAUUAAGAAAUUAAAAAAAAUAAAUAAACUGACAAAGUUCGUUAUCUAGGUACAGUUAAAAAAUGAGGGAGGUUCUCCUAACAAAACUAUAGUAACUGAUUAUUAUCAUAUUAUCUUCUCUAACACCUCCAAAUGCAUAUUCCUCCUCAUGCCCGCUUUGGAACCAUGCUAUCAGUAUUUUUGUUAGGCUUUUUUCCAUGGGUAUGAACCAUAUUUCAGAGUCCUGAGAGUAUUCACUGCACCUUCUAUGACUAAAAUUACAUUUGGUAAGGAAACAAUUAGUCAACUGUGCAAAGAUAAAUUAUAAGGACAAUCAGCACAGCUGACAUAAGAAGAUGAAUAAUCUUCAAUGUGCCAGUUUAUUAAUUUACUACAAUAUACCCAUCAAUGUAACCAGAAUACUUGUUUCCAUAUAAAGCAUACAUUCUUUUCCUAUAGCCAAAUUAUAAUCAUAAAAUUGCUUAAUUAAGCACAGAAUCAAAACAGGUGUCAUAAUUAGAUAAAAUAUAUGCUCAAUAAUAUCAAAGAAGUCUAGCAUUUAAAAAUCUAUACAAAGGCCAGGUGCGGUGGCUCACGCCUGUAAUCCUAGCACUUUGGGAGGCCGGGGCAGGCAGAUCAUUUGAGGCCAGGCAUUUGAGACCAGCCUGGCCAACAUGAAGAAACCCCAUCUCUACUAAAAAAUACAAAAAUUAGCUGGGUGUGGUGGCACAAACCUGUAAUCCCAGCUACUCAGGAGGCUGAGGCAUGAGAAUAGCUUGAACCUGAGAGGCAGGGUUUGUAAUGAGCCGAGAUCUUGCCACUGCACUCCAGCCUGGGUGACAGACUGAGACUCUGUCUCAAAAAAAUAAAAGUAAUAAAAGUCUAUACACCAAAAGUUUCAUAGUUUUAGUUGAGUGACAAGAUUAUAGCUUAUCUUGACUAUAUUUAUUUCUUUAUGUGUUAUCUGAAUUAUUUAUUAGUAUCUCUUUACCUUUUUUUUUUUUUUGAGACAGGGUCUUGCUCUAUCACCCAAGUUGGGGUGCAGUGACGCGAUCAUAGCUCAUUGCAGUCUUCAACUCCUGGGCUCAGCAAUACUCCUGCCUCCGCCUCCUGGGCUUGUGAAAGUGGCAGGUAAAUUUCUAAAACGGUCUCAUGACAUUACUUCAGACUAUAGCAUCUGGCUGACAUUCUAACACUGCUGCUUCAGUAAGAGUUGGAAUAGUAUAAACAGAAGCAUCUUCAGAAACGUAUAUAUAAGAUGAAGGGCACAUGUGCUUAGCGGCCAAGAUGUAGAAAUGCAAUAUGAACACAUCUGAAUCAAGUGGUGGCCACACUCACAUUCCCAUCUAAGGUAAACUGUUCCACCUAUAGUUCUGGAGAACAUAGUUCUGGGAAGCAGUCCUAGACAGCAAUGAUUUUUAGAAUACGAUCUGCCUUGUAGUCCAAAGCAGAAAGUAUCAGGUGUGGGGGACACUUUCCAAGUGCCAUUAUAUAUCAUUAAAAGAUUCAAAAAGUGACUCCCAAGCAGGGCAGAGUUAUGCCACUGAAAUUCUUACACUAAGGAAUAAAGUCUAUGAAAUGCAAAAUAAAUAGAAUCUGUGAAAUGCAAGAAAGCUGGAAAACAUGAAAUAAAUACCUUUGGGCACUAUCUCAUACACUGGGGCAACAAGCAACAUUUAAUUAUGAAUAGCUGAAAAUUGAAGGGGAAGCAGAAUGCAGACUAAGCUAGGAGGUAAAGUAAAGGUUGAGUCAACAAUGAGGAAGGCACUGAACAAACACACAGAGGAAUUAAAAAAUGUUAAAGGUGGUAUACUAGGAUGGAUGACACAAACUCUUGCGCUGACAUUCCCAGAUCUGUCUUGGAACUAAUUUCCAAACUCAGGAAACUGAAUUAAAAUUUUUCUUUAAAUUUUAAUUGUCUUUACUCAAAUUCCUUACUUGAAUUCUUAUGAGAUCCCUGUCCAUCUUAGAGGCUGACCAAGCCCAGCCAUGGGUGGUCCAAAUUGCUUAGGUGGUCCCAAUUGCUUGGCUGGCCCAAGAGAUGUCUGGUUCUUAACAAUACAAGAGCCUAUAGAAAUUGCUAAAGGGAUUUCAGCCACAACUGAAGCUCACCAAGAAUGAGUUUUCUGGAACUGGUUAAAGUGUCACAGUAGGGAGUAAGGA